AACCUCCGCAAUGUGAGAAAUCGCGACGGGGGGAUCCCAAGUGCCAUUCUUAACGGGAUGGCUUUUCUUAAGUGUAAAAAGCUUUUGGAAUAAGAGCUGGGCAAGACCGGUGCCAGCCGCCGCGGUAACACCGGCAGCUCUAGUGGUAGCUGUUUUUAUUGGGCCUAAAGCGUUCGUAGCCGGUUUGAUAAGUCACUGGUGAAAUCCUGUAGCUUAACUGUGGGAAUUGCUGGUGAUACUGUUGAACUUGAGGUCGGGAGAGGUUAGCGGUACUCCCAGGGUAGAGGUGAAAUUCUGUAAUCCUGGGAGGACCACCUGUGGCGAAGGCGGCUAACUGGAACGAACCUGACGGUGAGGGACGAAAGCUAGGGGCGCGAACCGGAUUAGAUACCCGGGUAGUCCUAGCCGUAAACGAUGCGGACUUGGUGUUGGGAUGGCUUUGAGCCGCUCCGGUGCCGAAGGGAAGCUGUUAAGUCCGCCGCCUGGGAGUACGGUGCAAGACUGAAACUUAAAGGAAUU
rnacentral:rRNA from 1 species